GCUCUGGCUGCCUUCUCCUCAGGGAACAGGGACCAACUUCCUGUGUUAGAUAUGCAGGCUGACCUCCGUAAGAGAAAGCUAUUUUGUAACACCUGCAAAUGAAUGAUGACUUCUUUGGAAUGCACCCCCUGUGAUCAAGCAACAGCUUCAGUUGAGAUUGCAAAAAAAUAUAUUACAUAUUAAAUUAAGACCAACCUUUUAUUGUAUUAUAACAUCAAACUGCUAACUUUCCAUGCUCUUUGGUUGUUUAUUAAGAAAACCUGCACCUUAAAAUUAUUCUUUCAUGUAACUGAUGUGCCUCCUUUAAUUUAGCUCCACUAAAUGACUGUAGUCAAUAUAACUUUGUCAGCAUCUUUCCCUGGCUUUAAUUAGAGUUGAGCGUCAGUCUUACAGACACAGACAAAGACUCCAAGCAAGACUUUUCACAGAUAUCAGGCCGUGAGCCAUGUGGGAUGACAGGACACAGAAUCAUCCAGAGCCUGCAGGUAGAGCUUUUCAACUCUUCUUUCUUCGGGGACCAAAGCUCCCAGUCUCUGAACACCCUUUUUUACAACACAGAUGAUGCAGCUAGAACAAAGCAAUGCCCAAUAAAGUUCAGAUGUACUAGACACAACAAAUAGCAGUCAGUUUAUAAAGACACACUGAGUAAGGGUUAUAGCUCAGAAUCUUUUAGUAUCUUUCUCCCAGAAGUGCUGGCCAGGCCAGCAAAUUUGAAGGCAAAUUCCCUUGCAAAAAUACCACAUACCCUUCUCUUCCUCCCCUCCCAGACUUAGCAGGGCCUGAUCUCAGCUGGCAAGAGGUGCUGCACCUGUCACAAAGCUCUGGGGUGCACUCAGAGGGGUGCACCAUCUGCUGCUUCUCUCCCACAACCUCUACCCUGAGCAAGUUCAGCUGUGCUCAGGAAAAGCGUGAUGCCUCCCUUCUUUUAAAGGGUUUUCCUAAGUAUCACAGAUGAGUAAAGAGAGCCACAAUCUUCUUCCAGGUACAUACACACUGUUCGUGCAGCAAGCUAUGAACAGAUAAGUGGAGGUAGAGCUUCAGAAAAAGUUUGUCCCUGCAAUUUCCAGUGUUCCCCAUGCCCCUGUAGAUUUUCCUGCUGCAUCCCUCUGCCUUCUUUUCUACGUAGAUGCUGUUGUUUUCUACACCUACAGAAGGAUAAGGAGAAACUGUAUUCCCCUCAGUGAGUUUUUCCCUGCAAUUCAGCUAUUGCCCCAUUCAGCUUGUUCCCCCAUUCUCAUCCCCCUUCUAAGACAAGCAUCUCAAAACAAGUAUUUUCUCAUGAAAGAGCAAUAUUUAAAGUUAAAGGGUCUUUUUCAGUCUCCAUGGUAGAGUAGGUGAAGGGCCUUUAAAGUGCAAACAGAAGCAGCUUGCUUGCUUUGAGAUUUCCUCCUUAUGCAAAAACAGGAGACAUCCCCAUUGCAGGUGAACAUCACCACUUUCCAGCCUUUGAUAAAUUGUCUUGGGUUUGAUUUACCAGUAUAGACAAAAUAAAAACUUUUUUAUUCAACCAAAAUCUGACCCAUUUCCUUUGGCAACUGGCAUGAAGUUAUUUGCACAACUGUUUCUGGAACUGACGACUUCCAAAGGGACACGUUUCACCACUGACAGUCUGGAAGAGCAGCUGGGAGAUGAAAGAAACACGGGCAGACUCAGAGUAUGAUGCAGCACAAAUUUAAUGAGGCUGAGGAAUGGAAGGAAGCAAUGCAAAGUGUAAGGAAUACAUUUCCAUGGUCCGCUAAGGACAGUGCCCACUCAUCCCUCCAGCAGUGACAUACUCAGCAAAACGAGAUCUUCCUUCUUCAUUGUUCAACUGUACUAAUUCAGCCAUGGAGAACAAUUUCUAAUAAUUACAUUUUUUUUACCUACUCAUUAUCAAAUACAAAAAAGCAUAAGAGAACAAGACAUUUGAUUAGAAAUACAAAGUAAAGCAUAACAAAAGACAAGUGAAGGCCUGGUUUGAGGAGAUGCCAAGCUCCCGCAGCUUCAUUAACUUCAGGUUGUGGGUGUCUGACAUCUAGCCAUGGCCCUGAGCUCAGUCCUGCCUUCGGUCCUGCUUCAGCAUUCCAGGUCAUUUCUUCCUGCUUGCUCCUCGUGCUUCAGCAUGGCCCGUAGAAGCCACUGCGGUAGGUGUUGUAGCGGCGGUAGGGCCGGCUGUAGCCACUGCCCAGGCCUGGAUAGCCAAAGCUUCCAAAUCCCAGGGAAAUGCCAGAGGAGAUGGGGACCCCUCCAGCACUGAGAGCACUCCCAACAGCUGCGGAUGCUGAGGAUCCCACGGUGGUGUUCUGGGGGAAGGAGCUGAGGAUAGGUCCAGGCAGGGUCACCACCACGGGAGAGGGCUGGAUCACCACUGUUGAGUCCUGGCACUGCCUGACACAGGGCUCAUUGCAGCUGUUGGCCAGAGGGGUUGGGCCACAGGGCUGGCACAGGUCGUAGCAGGACAUGUCUAUGUGGUGGAGAUAAAUCUGAAACACAAAACCAUAAAUAAAUGCAAUACAAAUAUUUAACCAAAACUCUGUGCAGGUGAAAUUCUCUGAUAAGGGGGAUAUAUGACAAACUAAAAAGAGAUUCCAUGGGGAGAAAGAUGACAUUUUUCACCAGAUUGAGAGUACUUUGAAAACAGGGUUGAGCUUGCAGUUUCUUGAAGGAGACUGCUGGGGAAGAUAGCACCGGUGCGUCUCAGUUGGGAACUUAUCCUGAAGCCUUUGUGGUUAGUCAGCUCGCACAGGAAGCAGUGUACACACAGGCACUGAAAGCCUCUUGCCCACAUUGCAGAGGAUGCCCGAACCACAUGGCCAUAAUACUGCCCUGGGAGAAGGCACUUUCACCACUUCCCCUUGCAGCUGUGGCCACACACAGGAAAACUGUUAGGGCUCUGUGUAUCCUGGAGAAAUGUGGGGUGACUGUAGCUUUGAGGUGAAGGCACUCUGCUGGAAUGGGUAAGACUCAGCUCAUUAUUCCUGCUGUAAGGCUUGCCUCUUUGCUAAAUGCUCAAUGAUGACAAACAUCCUCCUAGUACAGCAAAUAGCCUUUCCCAUUUCAUUCCCAUGCAUGGUCCAUCUUGGAUGGACCUAGUUUUAGAAAGUGGAAAAUAGAAAUCUAAGCACUUAAAAUUUUUUCAGUAAGAAGUAAAAUGACAGGCAGCUGAAUUCAGAAACACUUUUAUUUUUGUGUAUUGAUAUUAAUAUUUAAAUCAUUACCAUAUCUCAGAAUUGCUAGAGUGCAAAUCUGUCCACAGUUGUUUGGAGUAUGGAGAAGAAAUGCAUUAAAGGUCACUCCUUCCCUGCAGAAGAACUACAAAUUGAGUUUCAAAGGCAGGCAUGGUAUGAUUGCUUUCUAUAUGGAGGGUUGGUGACCCAGGACUGCCAGUAUCCCCGUGUUCUCCUGCUCUUCAGACCUUAGCUGAAUUUUCCACAGAGCAGUACACUCUGAAAAGACCCAAGAAUGCACUACAGAUAUUUUUUUGUUCAGCGACAGGACCUGAAAAUUUGUUUGGAUCCCAAAGCCAAUUAGAUAGACCUAACAGUCUAACUUGUGGCUAACUGCUUUAUUCAAUGAUUUUUAUAACUGAUCACCAAUAGAAAACUUCCUCUUUCGUAUGAAAACCCUCUCCUCCCCCAGAGGAAAAAAGGUUGAAUGUAUUACAACAUUAGUGAGGAAAAGCUACAAAAUCAUCAAGGCAAAAGUUCAAAAUGUAAAGAGAGAAUAAAUUAGUUCAGACUCACCUAAUUCACCAAGGCAAAGAAGGCAAGAGAAAUGGAUGGAAGAGCCUUGAGUUGCUCAGGUUUUUAUACUGAGUCCCAAGUUGCCCAACAACUUGGUGCAUCCUUUGUGUAUGAAGUUAUUUAUGCACCACUACUGAUUACAUGUUCGUUUUACCUCAGUCUUUGUGUUUAUUACUGCUUCACUUCCUUAUCUUGCGGCGUGUAUAUCUGACCACAAAUUUCUUUCAUCUUAAAAUAUUCUCGGACAAGUUAAUUUCUGAGAAUACUAGAAUGAUUAAUUCAGAAGAAUUUAUUCUGCUUUCAAAACCCUUUUGGAUCUGCCUGGUGUUAUUAAAGGAGAUUAAGCAGAAUUUACAUAAUGCAGUCCUUUGUACCCUUGGCAAGGUAAAUAAUGUUGGAAAUCGUGAAGAAUUUCAGCUUUUGGAAUUCAACCCAUGAGCACUUGUAGUCUGGGGAUUCCAGCUGCUUUUCGGGAAAAGUGAGGACAGAAUGUUGUUUUUUUUUUUAGAAAGUGGGCAGGAAUACACACACAAUUUUCACCAGGCCCAAAAUGAGAGAAGGACAAUUGCUGCUAAAAGGGGAAGACGCUGAAGAACCCUGUAAAGAGUCGGGAAGGACGGAAAAGAGUUACGGCUGUGUACAAAGGCUGAGACACAACUAGGACAAACACUCAAGAUACUGCUUUGACAUAGGGGAAGAAGAAAAGAAAGAGUAUUACAAGUCCAGUCUAACAAGACAAUAUCAAAUGGUAACACUUCUUUGGAAGAGUCUGAAGCACAAAUCUUAUUGAUACAGGAUCUUUCCUGGCUGUUUUUAAUUCUUGGCCUGAUCACUUAGGAGUUCUUUAUCUCAAGAAACCACAAAUCCACUUUUAUUCUUAUCUCAGACCUCAAAACAUCAGCAACUGUUUUUAGGUUAACUUCCAAAUGCAUAAAUAUGUUGCACUGCAGUGUCUGGUAAAAUACAUGGUAAAGGGGUAAAAUACAUAUGCAAUCCUAGACACAGUUAUUAGUACUGAGGUUUGUGCUCUCCUAGCACUUUAGCUAAGGAGACAUGUAAAUAAUCCCUAAAUUAGGAGUGUCUUUGUGAAGAUCCCCUGGGAACAGAAACUUGUUUGGCUUGGUAUUAAGUUCCUCAGAACUUCAAAGUUUAUCAGAAGCUUUUAUUAACAUGCUAGGCAUGCAAAGUAUCAUAUUAUGUGCAAAUGUAAGAUACGCGACCCAUAUUUGAAUUCUAAUAAAUGUAAACAUGCUAUGUUAUAAUUUC